CCACCCUCAGGCUCUGCCUGGUGUUGGGGGCCGGCCGCCCUGGGCGGCCGCCCCCGAAAGACAGCGGCGGGCUCGCCCCGGUCCCGAGCGUAGUAGCAACACGUCGCUCCGGGUGCCGGGCGGGCUCUCGCCGUAAAACCCCCCAUACUUCUAUGG
rnacentral:misc_RNA from 1 species